CAAAAGUCCUCGGAUGGUCGACUAUUUCAGGUUGAUUUUUGAAGUGUGGAUCCCUGCACACUCUAAAAUCAGGUCGGUGAAGACUGAACACGAUGAAUGAAGGCCUUAUGGGUGUAGAACAAUAUGAGGCUGUUGGGGGUCAUGACACAAGACGUGUGACGUGGAAACAUCCUUUCCCACAUGUUCAUGAUGAUGUUGGGAGGAGGAUCAACUGGAAGGGUGUGAAUGGGGAAAAAA